AGCAGUCGCCACGGUAAUACAGAGGGUGCGAGCGUUAAUCGGAUUUACUGGGCGUAAAGCGUGCGUAGGCGGCUUCUUAAGUCGGAUGUGAAAUCCCUGAGCUUAACUUAGGAAUUGCAUUCGAUACUGGGAAGCUAGAGUAUGGGAGAGGAUGGUAGAAUUCCAGGUGUAGCGGUGAAAUGCGUAGAGAUCUGGAGGAAUACCGAUGGCGAAGGCAGCCAUCUGGCCUAAUACUGACGCUGAGGUACGAAAGCAUGGGGAGCAAACAGGAUUAGAUACCCCCGUAGUCCCUGUCUCUUAUAU
rnacentral:rRNA from 1 species